rnacentral:tRNA from 2 species
GCGAGGGUAGCCAAGUGGCCAACGGCGAUGGACUCAAGAUCCAUUCUUGUAGGAGUUCGCGGGUUCGAAUCCCUCCCCUCGCA